GCAAGUCGAGCGGAAACAGAGAGAAGAUUGCUUCUUUGCUGACGAGCGGCGGACGGGUGAGUAACGCGUAGGAAUCUCCUUGUAGUGGGGGAUAAGCCAGAGAAAUUUGGCUAAUACCGCAUACGCCCUACGGGGGAAAGGAGGGGCUCUUCGGACCUUUCGCUAUUAGAUGUGCCUGCGUAAGAUUAGCUAGUUGGUGAGGUAAGAGCUCACCAAGGCGACGAUCUUUAGCUGGUCUGAGAGGAUGAUC
rnacentral:rRNA from 1 species